UACGUAGGGUGCGAGCGUUAAUCGGAAUUACUGGGCCUAAAGCGCACGUAGGUGGUCCGCUAAGUCGCGUGUGAAAUCCCUCGGCUCAACCGAGGAAUUGCGGGCGAUACUGGCGGGCUAGAGAUCGGGAGGGGUGAGUGGAACUCCAGGUGGAGCGGUGAAAUGCGUAGAUAUCUGGAGGAAUACCGGUGGCGAAGGCGGCAUCCUGGACCGGCAUUGACGCUGAUGAGCGAAAGCUAGGGGAGCAAACGGG
rnacentral:rRNA from 1 species